CCCACGCGUAUUCAAAAUCCUUAACGCUCUUCGAACAAAACCAGCUUCGUUUCAUGAUUCCCAAAUUAGUUCACACUGAUUUUCAGUAAUUCCACUGAUUUACAGUCACCGGUGUUCUGGUAGGCUGCAGUUCGUUAGCAUCAGAACAAAAUCCCCAAAUCAAUUAGGGAUUUCAAGCACCCAAAUCAGGCCGAGUCUAAGGAGUUACACAUGAAGGUCAAUCAAGUAUUCCGACGAAAGUUUCCAUGCUUAUGGAACAUCAAUCAAAGGCGAGUUUGGUCGUGCAACAAUAUCUGUUAAAGAAGCAACGAGUUGAUUUGGAACAAAAAUCUGAGUUGGAUAAAUAUUUGACUGAGAAUGAAGAUGGAAACAACUCGAGUUCAUUUGAUAUAUUGUUGUGGAGGAAAGUGAAUAGUCCAAGAUACUUUGUUCUUGCGCAAAUAGCUCGAGAUUUUUCUCGAUUCAUAUCUACAAUUGCUUCAAAAAGUGCAUUCAGCACAGGUGGACGUGUUCUAGAUGGUUUUAGAAGUUCAUCGACUCCGACAUGGUUGAAGCUUUGAUUUGUACUCAGGGUUGGCUUCGGAGAUUUACGGAUCCUAUCAAUCUUGUCGAGUAUGUUGCAAAACUUCAAUACAUGGAAGAAAGUAAUAUUUAAUUUU